rnacentral:rRNA from 1 species
CCCUUAGACACUCUAGGCGGCACGCGCGCUACAAUGGGUGGAAGAACGUGUUACUGCCUCCGAAAGGAGGGGUGAAUCACGAAUUCUUGCCCGUGAAUGGGAUAGUUUGUUGCAAUUUUCGGACUUGAAUUAGGAAUCCCUUGUAAACAUGCUCAAGAAUAGCGUGUUGAAUACGUCCCUGCCGUUUGUACACACCGCCCGUCGUUUCUUCCGACUGAUACUCAUUGUGAGUUGCAAGGACCCUUUAUUGGGAAAUUGCUGCAAAUGCUUUGUAUUGGAGGAAGAAAAAGUCGUAACA